UUUAUAUAUAAGUAAUUUGAUUAAUUGAAUAUUAAUACAAUAAUACAAGUUAUAUUUUUUGAAAACUUGAUAAAUCAAUAUGUUGAUAGAAGCUACAACAAUCUUUGAGAUAUUAAAAAAGAGUAUAACUCAAAAGAAAGUUGAGAGACCCUGAUCUCUCAACUCUGAUCCAAGAGUAAAGUCAGUAGAGUCAAUUUCGAAACAAUAUCUUUUGUUUCGAAGAAAUCUGGCAUCAAGCACGAAGACAAACCUAAAUUUCACCAUUGCUAACUCGAACAAACGGCAACAUACGUUAAUAUACUGAGGACACAAAGCGAUAUCAAAGUCCGAAAGCCGAGAACAUUGCUGUACCACAAAGUAGAAUCUUCUGACUUGUCAACUACAGAUUGAGUACUGUACGUACAUUCCCGGUUGACUUCUAAAGGACUGGCAUACAAUCGCUGGAAGUGGAUACUGUAUUCAACCAGACGGCUGUCAUCCAGCUGUACCCUGGCGAUUAGCUCCAAACACAAGAAUUAUUCUCCAUCAUUUUUAUGAAGUGAAAAAUCAAAAUCCCUAAGGAAUUUCUAGAUAAAUCUUUCCAAACAAACAACUUACGAUCUUUGAAUCACACAACUUUUGAAGGUUACUGUACAUACAUAUAGAUAUGCAAAAUUUAAAGCUCAAGAGUUAUACGGUUCCACGAUUCCACCCACGUCAAGGAUCAUUUCCAAGUAUCACCCUCCAUCGCCCACGCAGCAAACUAAAAUCCCUAAACGAGAAGUUGUACGAAUCUUCCUAAACCGGAAGUGACAACCACCGUCCAAACGUUCCAUCACGUUGCACUGAAACGAGUGGUUAGUUAACCUUGACGAUGAGACCUUUGAUUACAGUCAAACACUGCUGCCUACGUGUUCAUUACAAGAUUCGAUUUCACGAUGUUAAGAUCAG